rnacentral:rRNA from 1 species
UAACGGCGAGUGAAGCGGCAACAGCUCAAAUUUGAAAUCCGGCCCCCCGGGCCCGAGUUGUAAUUUGCAGAGGAUGCUUUUGGCGAGGCGCCGCCCGAGUUCCCUGGAACGGGACGCCACAGAGGGUGAGAGCCCCGUCUGGCUGGCCGCCGAGCCUCUGUAAAGCUCCUUCGACGAGUCGAGUAGUUUGGGAAUGCUGCUCAAAACGGGAGGUAUAUGUCUUCUAAAGCUAAAUACCGGCCAGAGACCGAUAGCGCACAAGUAGAGUGAUCGAAAGAUGAAAAGCACUUUGAAAAGAGGGUUAAACAGUACGUGAAAUUGUUGAAAGGGAAGCGCUUGCGACCAGACUCGGGCGCGGCGGAUCACCCGGCGUUCUCGCCGGUGCACUCCGCCACGCCCGGGCCAGCAUCAGUUCGCGCCGGGGGACAAAGGCGCCGGGAAUGUGGCUCCCCCGGGAGUGUUAUAGCCCGGCGCGCAAUACCCUGGGGCGGACUGAGGACCGCGCGUUUACGCAAGGA